rnacentral:rRNA from 1 species
CCUACGGGAGGCAGCAGUGGGGAAUAUUGCACAAUGGGCGAAACCCUGAUGCAGCAAAGCCGCGUGAGUGAAGAAGUUUCUCGGUAUGUAAAGCUCUAUCAGCAGGGGAGAGAAUGACGGUACCUGACUAAGAAGCCCCGGCUAACUACGUGCCAGCAGCCGCGGUAAUACGUAGGGGGCGAGCGUUAUACGGAUUUAAUGGGUGUAAAGGGAGCGUAGACGGUUCUGCAAGUAUGAAGGGAAAGCCCGGGGCUUAACCGCGGACCGGCUUUGGAAACUGGGGAACUGGAGUGCGGGAGAGGCAAGCGGAAUGCCUAGUGUAGCGGUGAAAUGCAUAGAUAUUAGGAGGAACACCGGUUGCGAAGGCAGCUUGCUGGACAGUAACUGACGUUGAGGCACGAAAGCGUGGGGAGCAAACAGGAUUAGAUACCCUGGUAGUC